AGUGAACGCUGGCGGUAGGCCUAACACAUGCCGUCGAACGGCAGCACCGUAAGAGCUUGCUCUUACGGGUGGCGAGUGGCGGACGGGUGAGGAAUACAUCGGAAUCUACUUUUUCGUGGGGGAUAACGUAGGGAAACUUACGCUAAUACCGCAUACGACCUACGGGUGAAAGCAGGGGAUCUUCGGACCUUGCGCGAUUGAAUGAGCCGAUGUCGGAUUAGCUAGUUGGCGGGGUAAAGGCCCACCAAGGCGACGAUCCGUAGCUGGUCUGAGAGGAUGAUCAGCCACACUGGAACUGAGACACGGUCCAGACUCCUACGGGAGGCAGCAGUGGGGAAUAUUGGACAAUGGGCGCAAGCCUGAUCCAGCCAUACCGCGUGGGUGAAGAAGGCCUUCGGGUUGUAAAGCCCUUUUGUUGGGAAAGAAAAGCAGCAGGUUAAUACCCCGCUGUUCUGACGGUACCCAAAGAAUAAGCACCGGCUAACUUCGUG
rnacentral:rRNA from 1 species